rnacentral:lncRNA from 1 species
UAUUAUUAUCUUGUGAUUCUAUAUAUACCUAUUUAUUUCAUUCAACAACAUUAUAACUAAAUCAUUCCAGCUUUGCACACUUCCAUAGACAGCAAAAAUCACCUCAAUCUUUGUUUCAUAUAGCGAAAUUUUUUUAUGGCUUUGAUUACAUAUUUCUUCAAUUGCUUUGGUCUCUCCUCAAGCUUAUCAUCCCAAGUUUCUAAUUAUGAACAAUCAUCUCAACCAAAAACUUCAUCUUCAGAGAAACCGAAGAGAAACGAAAACUCAAAGAGAGCUCCAAUUGUAGUUUCUUAUUUUCCUGUUAAUUCUAAUCUCUCACGUUUGUAGUAUUAGUAUGUAAAAAGUGCAUUCGAUAUUUAUUUAUUCUUUGGUGCUUGCUAUUAAUUUAUUUGAUCCUUCUUGUUUUUUAUAAGAAAAUAUUUGUGAUUUGUAAAGAAUCAAAAUUGCAGUCUCGUACUAUAUAAUACAAUUUGAAAUUUGAUAUAUCAGUAACUAUUAAUGUAGUGUUACUGAGUUCCUCUUCCAAACUUUUACUCAAACAUUAACUUUAAAAAUUGUGGAUGAACAAAAGAUAAUUAAAUUGGUUGCAUGCUUUAAUUGAAAAUUAAAAGUUGGUUCCGACAAACAAUUUAUUUGCGACUUAUAUGUAAUAAUAGUAAAU